rnacentral:lncRNA from 14 species
GGUGGAACCAGGGCUCUGAGAUAUUACGCAAAUAUGCUACCACUGAGCAAUACCCCCAGCCAUUUUCACAAGGAAAUGUAAUGUAUUUAUUUUAAAAAAUUACCUGGACAAGCUUAACUUUUACACCUUUUGAUAUCUUCUAGACGCCUCAGUUACCUUGAGCAAGCAAGUGUCUCCUUACAGAGGCAGAAGCAGUGGCUAGUCUUGUGUCUAUCAUCCCAAAGAACAAACUCGCAAGACUGAACAGUUUCAACAAUAGCCCAAAUAUUCCAGGAGGUCAUCCAUCUUGGGCAAGUUAACUGACAGGCUUGCUGGUUCUGCCAUGUUCUGUGUGGUGCAUUAAAGCCUCCAAACGGCUGAGCUCUUCCACAGCCUCUCUGAGUAUCAUCCAGCUACUACUUUGGGAGAGCAGGCUUUUCCCAUUAUCUGGUGUGACUCAUGGUGGAGGUAACGGCUUUGAAAUUUAUUUGAAAAGUGCACCCUCCUCCCCAAGUGCUUUCCCAUACUCCCCAGGGGAUCCUCCCAGCAGACGCCCCCAAUGGGUGCCCCCCCCCCGGGGUACCCUGGGUAAUAUUUCCCUGACUUCUCUGUCAUUUCUCAUUACUGUAUGUAAG